UCUGAAAAGGCUCAGACCGACAAGACCUCAUCUAAAAGUCUUAACACUAUUUAAAUGUCUAGAAGUCUAAACAAUGUACUCUCUCUCUUUCUCCUCAUUGAGCCCAGAGUGUAAUAAUUUGAAGUUAAAGUGAAAAGAAAAUUCCAGGGCGGGGUUCUCAAGUAAGAGAAGGAAAAUAAGGCAGCCUAAUUCAAAGUUUCCUCUGCUCAAGCUAUAUUAUCAAGAGCUUUUUCCAGUUUCAAAGCUAUCUGUCUCAGCUAGAGACAUUGGUGUUGGACUAAAGGUUUCAGAAGUUAACCUGCUUUCCCAAACUACCCAAAUUAAGGAAUCUUAAGCAAUUGGAAUUGGGACUAAAUCUCCGUGUGUUCUGCCUCCUCCUUUGCACAUCCCUACUAUGUGCAUCUCCUUCAUUAAAUAGAUUUAAAAUUAAGUUCACAUAUGUCCAUGCUAGAUGGAAGGGCAAUGCAAAUGACUCAAGGGUGCUUAGUGAGGCUAUCAGUAACCCGAAACACGGAUUUCCAUGGACACCAACAAGUUUAUGAAUUAUAUAUAUUAUUAUCUUGUAAUGUGAUGGUGAUGUAUUCACUUGUUUGUAUUCAACAUUUUUUGUACAUGGAACUAACUUGUAAUGUGACUUGAACUCACAUUUACAACCAUGUAAAUAAAUUUAUAAUGUAACUUGAACAUGUUAUUGGCAG